UCCAGUUGUCCUCAGAAAACUUGUUCUGCACAUGACCUUAACUGCAAAACAAUAGAAAAUAGGAUAAGAAAGAAAAUCGAACAUUCCUGGAAAGGGAUACUGAAAGUGUGCAAAGAGAAGGAUAUCAGCAAUGUAGGAGAAAUCCCACUGUCAGACUUCCUAGAUGUAGUAGGGAAAUUCAAUUUGGAUUUAAGUGAAGGGGAGAUUAACCAAUAACAGCAAAAUAUGAUUCCAAGAAAAAUGGAACAUUUGCAUACUAUGACUUUCUUCAGAGUUGUGUCUUGUUCUUAAAACCAAAGGAAACCUCACUGCUGAAGAGGGUGAUUCUACAGAAGCCACAAGAGCCGCUGAGUCCUGGACCACAAACCACGUCAUUUUUCAGUGCAAUGCUGAGAAUUCAGCCCAAGAUCCUGCACUGCUGGAGACCAAUGGAGCGAACUUUUAAAUCCCAUGAUGAAACUCGUAGCGGUCUGUUAAAUGUUUCAGAUUUCAGACAAGUAGGUUGUAUUUACCAAAUAAUGGUCAGAAAAUUACAGCUGUCUAAUCUAAGCUUCCAGAUUGAUUUUUUUUCUGGAAAAUGGUACUGAACUAGAGCAUAUAAUUUCAUUCUGGAUCCUGUCUGUGACUUCAGCUCUGAACAUCACUCACAGUAAUCUUUCUCUACAUGUAGUUACAAUUCCUUGAGGUCUGAGGUCUUAGUGGGAUCCUGACCAGAUAAAACAGAGAAAAACCUACCUUAGCCCUUAUACCAAGUUUAAAUGGGUAUCUUUCACAAACACAUGGCAACAAAACACAAGC